rnacentral:pre_miRNA from 1 species
GGCCUCCCUCUGUGGGGUGAUCGAUCAUAGGGCUCCACGAUCGAUUGCCCAGCAGAGGGAGGUC